CCUGGUUGAUCCUGCCAGUAGUCAUAUGCUUGUCUCAAAGAUUAAGCCAUGCAUGUCUAAGUUCAAGCGAAAAUAAAGUGAAACCGCGAAUGGCUCAUUACAUCAGUUAUGGUUCCUUAGAUCGCACCUACUACUUGGAUAACUGUGGUAAUUCUAGAGCUAAUACAUGCGCUGGGCCCCAACCCUCGUGGAAGGGGCGCUUUUAUUAGAUCAAAGCCAAUCGGGCCUUCGGGCUCGUUAACUUGGUGACUCUGAAUAACUUUGCUGAUCGCACGGUCUCGCACCGGCGACGUAUCUUUCAAGUGUCUGCCUUAUCAACUGUCGAUGGUAGGUUAUGCGCCUACCAUGGUGGUAACGGGUAACGGGGAAUUAGGGUUCGAUUCCGGAGAGGGAGCCUGAGAAACGGCUACCACAUCCAAGGAAGGCAGCAGGCGCGCAAAUUACCCACUCCCAGCUCGGGGAGGUAGUGACGAAAAAUAACGAUACGGAACUCUUAUGAGGCUCCGUAAUCGGAAUGAGUACACUUUAAAUCCUUUAACGAGGAUCUAUUGGAGGGCAAGUCUGGUGCCAGCAGCCGCGGUAAUUCCAGCUCCAAUAGCGUAUAUUAAUGUUGUUGCGGUUAAAAAGCUCGUAGUUGGAUCUCGGUUUCGGGCGAGCGGUGCGCCUUGCGGCGUCUACUGUUUGCCCGGACGAUUUUGCUGGUUCGUUCCUGGUUCUCUUAACCGAGUGCCAGGAGUGGCCAGCACGUUUACUUUGAAAAAAUUGGAGUGCUCAAAGCAGGCGCUACAGCCUGAACAUUAGUGCAUGGAAUAAUGGAAUAGGACCUCGGUUCUAUUUCGUUGGCCUUCGGAGUCGAGGUAAUGAUUAAUAGGGACAGACGGGGGCAUUCGUACUGCGACGUUAGAGGUGAAAUUCUUGGAUCGUCGCAAGACGAACUACUGCGAAAGCAUUUGCCAAGAAUGUUUUCAUUAAUCAAGAACGAAAGUUAGAGGUUCGAAGGCGAUCAGAUACCGCCCUAGUUCUAACCAUAAACGAUGUCGACUGGCGAUCCGCUAUCGUUAACUGAAAGACUUAGCGGGCAGCCUCCGGGAAACCAAAGUGUUUGGAUUCUGGGGGGAGUAUGACUGCAAAAUUGAAACUUAAAAGAAUUGACGGAAGGGCACCACCAGGAGUGGAGCCUGCGGCUUAAUUUGACCCAACACGGGAAAUCUCACCAGGCCCGGACACCGGUAGGAUUGACAGAUUGAGAGCUCUUUCUUGAUUCGGUGGGUGGUGGUGCAUGGCCGUUCUUAGUUGGUGGAGCGAUUUGUCUGGUUAAUCG
rnacentral:rRNA from 1 species